AGGGAUCAUUACUGAGUUUACGCUCUAUAACCCUUUGUGAACAUACCUAUAACUGUUGCUUCGGCGGGUAGGGUCUCCGCGACCCUCCCGGCCUCCCGCCUCCGGGCGGGUCGGCGCCCGCCGGAGGAUAACCAAACUCUGAUUUAACGACGUUUCUUCUGAGUGGUACAAGCAAAUAAUCAAAACUUUUAACAACGGAUCUCUUGGUUCUGGCAUCGAUGAAGAACGCAGCGAAAUGCGAUAAGUAAUGUGAAUUGCAGAAUUCAGUGAAUCAUCGAAUCUUUGAACGCACAUUGCGCCCGCCAGCAUUCUGGCGGGCAUGCCUGUUCGAGCGUCAUUUCAACCCUCAAGCUCUGCUUGGUGUUGGGGCCCUACAGCUGAUGUAGGCCCUCAAAGGUAGUGGCGGACCCUCCCGGAGCCUCCUUUGCGUAGUAACUUUACGUCUCGCACUGGGAUCCGGAGGGACUCUUGCCGUAAAACCCCCCAAUUUCCAAAGGUGACCUCGGAU
rnacentral:rRNA from 1 species